GAGAGCUACGUCUGUUUUUCGGGCGGUUGUAUGAGUCUAGAGCAACUUAAGUCUUUUUAGGGAGGGGGGAUGGGCUACUGGCAGACGUGGUGGGAGAAGGACGCUCCGAGCUAUUUGUUUCUUCCAUGAUGGACACGCGAUCCAGUUUCCUCUUGUCACUACUACUAGAAUUUAGUAUAAAAUUCGGAUCACAGAUAUAAGGAAUAUCAUUGUUAAAGAAUUGUUAUAUUCACCUCUUGUGAAGAGUUCAUCAACUAAACACUUUCUAAAUACAAGCUGGUGAGAUAUUUGAUUAUCAAACUAUCAGAAAAAUAUCAUAAAAUCUUCGACAACCCGUCUUAUUCUUCAUAUUGCCUAUGAUUCAUAACAAGAUCGAUAUCUAAGAACUCAUAUCUGCUGAAGGAGGACAACAAAGUGCUAUCUUCAUAUCACCCACAAAAGCGAUGAUAUGAUUCUCGGUCGUUGGUAGACGAAGAAAUGGAUUGGAAAAUGUAUAGGUGACAAUACUGAGCCUUUAAGGACACCCAAGCUUGAGACCAUCAUAAGUCAGCUUACAUGAAGCAGAAGUUGAUGAUGAAACUGAAAUGUAGAAGUAGAUGAUUGAUUCACACCCUGUUAGGCUUCCCUUUCUACAGUGACUAUAUAGUCACUGUAUCCCUUUCUACACUAAAAUCUUGCUCAUGGGAUGUGACCCAAAAACUGCAAAAUUCGCAGCACCUACAAACACUGGAGACUACAAAACCGAGUUCAGUCGUCGGGUAUGUAGAAGGAAAGAAGAGAUCAAUCAAUACAAGCAGAACUUGAAUGUAUAAUUAUAAUCAAGAAGGAGGAACUUCAACACAUUAUUAGCAUCAGGGUAAAGAUCUUCAUUUAUCACGUUCAAUUUGGUGUUCAAAUUCUGAUAAGUAAAAUAAAUAAACAAUAAUUCUGAAAAUUCAAAAUACUUCACUUUUUAUUUAAAACAAAUUUCGGAAAUCCAAAAUUUCAAUGAGGACAAUUUUUUCAGAAGGACACUUAUUGAUGAACCAAUAAAAAGAUGUAACAUAAGUGUAAAUUCAGAAGCAUAAAAUAUAUUGAAUUAAAAGUCACCUAUAAGGUGUAUUUAACAUGGUAUAAAACUACAAUUUGUACAGUUUAUAAUCUGGGUAGAAUAAAUAUAUUACAGUGUUUUAAAAA